rnacentral:ncRNA from 1 species
CUGACGGGCGCGUUCGGGUCAAUUGCGGAAUGCAACACCCGAUCUCCCUCCACACGCCACCCGACGUGGCCGUGUCGGAGGGGGAGCGCGUGACCAUCAG